GGGGGAGUGGCGGAAUAAGUAGACGCGAUAGACUUGGACUCUAUUAGUGAGGCUACACUGUGCGGGUGCAAAUCCCGUCUCCCCCACCA
rnacentral:tRNA from 1 species